AAUUAGCUACCAAGUAUGCUGCGUGAGCGAUAGAAACGGCAUCCUUUUUAUGCUUUUUCUGCAUAAAAAGAUAUAGUGGAAAGCGCGGUUUUUG
rnacentral:sRNA from 1 species